rnacentral:rRNA from 1 species
UACGGAGGGGGCUAGCGUUGUUCGGAAUUACUGGGCGUAAAGCGCACGUAGGCGGCUUUGUAAGUUAGAGGUGAAAGCCCGGGGCUCAACUCCGGAACUGCCAUUGAAACUGUUGGACUUGAGUACGAGAGAGGUGAGUGGAAUUCCCAGUGUAGAGGUGAAAUUCGUAGAUAUUGGGAAGAACACCGGUGGCGAAGGCGGCUCACUGGCUCGUAACUGACGCUCAGGCGCGACAGCGUGGGGAUCAAACAGG